AAUCUGUCUGUCCAGUUUAAUGACCAGCUCUUGCUUCUUGAAAGUUCUGGGCUUUCAGUUUCUGUUUCUCAGCAGACUAAAGUCACAUGUGCAAAGACAGGCUGGAUAGGACUGUUGUUGUUCUGUGCUUAUGUGGUGGUGGAGCUGGGUCAAGCAAGGCAGAGCAGUUAGUUAAGACAGAGAGACAAUAUAGGAAAGGACGGAGGCAGAGUAGAAAGGAACAGUGGAGUGGAUGGGAAAGAAAAAGGGAAGACAUUAUUCAGUAGUACACAC